ensembl:lncRNA
AUUUUAAUUUCUCCCUCUCUAAAAUAUGAAGAUCAUAAUUUCAACCUUAAGCAAUUGCUGAAAGAAAGAAAUGAUAGCUGAUAAACUAUGUAAAGCACUGCCGAAGUGCUUGAUCAAAUGUCACUCCCAUUUUUCUUUUGUUAUCAUCCCCAAAGUGCAUAAACAAGGUGUGGCUUUUCUUUAUGCCUGUGUUUAUCCUCUGAUGGUGACAUACCCGGUGCCUAGAAAAAUGUCCUGCUCAGAAGAGUCGAUCCUGACUGCUUCAUGCUAACCAACCAGAGAAUAGGAAAAGUGAGGAAAGAGGUGACAGUCAAACAGUAGAAAGAAGUAAGACCCACAGAGGGCAUGCUCUAUGCCUGGUGCCCUUCUAUGUAUGUUAUGGUUUUCAAUAAACUUUCCUCACAUGGUCCUCAGGAGGUAGGCAUUAUUGUGGAGCCUAUUUUUGCAGAAGAGGAAACAAAGUGUUGAAAGAAUUUGAUCAAGGUCACUGUCAGUAAGUGGUAGAGCUGGGAUUUAAACUCUUGCCGUCCAGCUGCAAGUUCCUAUUCUUAACCACUAUGCUAACCAAGAGCUAUGCUAAAGCUGUAGAAGAAUGUGUGUGUCUGAAUCACUGUGUUGUACAUCUGAAAUGAACACGACAUGUAAAUCAGCUGUUUCAAUUUAAAAAUUAAUUUUAAAAAGUAAAAAUUAUAAAAAAUAGAGUGUUAAAGAGAACAAGAUGCAGAGAUGAAGAAGUCAUCAGUUUGACUUCUUAGGCAUCAAUAGAAAGGUUUAAAAUCAUAUGAGAACAUUGCUGGACACAGGGACUUCAGGACGGAGACAUAAAAGUUUCUCAACUAGAGUUAAAUGGAUGGUGAGAGAAGGAGACCCAGGGGCUGAGGUGAUCGAAUGUGGAGGGGUUAAAAGGAAGGAGCAGAGCUUUUACAAAUACAUCAGAGAGAAAAAAAGAAAUAUCAGGGAGAAAGUGGUCCCAUUAAUAAAUAAGGAAGGCAAAAUAAAUCAAUGAAGAUCUUUCAGUGGCUGAACUCCUCAACCUGCUUUUUAAAAUUGGAUUUUAAGGAGAAAAGUAAAGAGGUAGAAGCCAGAAGAAGCUGAGUGAUACCUUGAUAGGUGCUAUAAAAGAAAGCAGAUGCAAAUGGGGAGAUGCCAUUUACAUGCAUCUGGGAAUAUGCAACUGAAGCAAACAGGUAAGAUCUCAGUACCCAACACCAGACAGACUCCAAGGGUGGCAAGAGAGAUGGUCCCCAUUUUGGUCAGCUAGUGUUGCCUCCCUUCCUCAGCUUUCCAGCCCAGUCUCCAUGGAUAGCCCUUCUCAUGUAUUCAUUAUCACGUAUUUAUUGACUAAGAAUGAUUAAACCCACUCUUUUGGCCUUGAGGAACUUGAGAUCUUGGGGGGAAAGCUGACGUGUAAAAAAGUCAUAAAUAUGCAAUGUGGGAUGCCCCACAAUUGAGAAAUAUACAGGGGUCUGGGAAUCAAGAAGAGAACAAUGAAUUCUGCCUGGAGCAGUCAGGAAAGGCUUCACUGAAGAGGCAAUCUUGGAGCUAAAAUGUAGAAACAGAAAUAUGCCCGGGCAUGUGGCGGAAGGAACAGUACAUGCGAGAGGGUGUUUGUUGUGGGAACUAAAAGCAGCCAGAUAUUCAUGGUCACAGGAGGCAGAGGGGAGGGGGUGGGGAGAAGAGGUGGAUGGACUGGCUGGUGGAUUCAUGGCAUAAAAGACCAUAUAUGCUAUGUAAGGAGUUGAACCUAUUUGGUGGGCUGCAUGGAAGGAUGUUAAAUAGGUGAGUGGUUUGAUCAGAUUUUUGUUUUUUGAAAAAAAAAAAAACAACUUAUAGCAGUAGGAAGAACUGAGUAAAACUAAAAACAUGAAAGCCAUUAAGGGGACUAUUAGGAGAGUUCAGGGAAAAUUUGAGGAGGGUUCGGCAUGGCCAUGGGGACAGAGAAAAAGAAGUGAUUCAAGACAUACUUAGAAAUUUAUGUCAAAUGCAGCAGAGAGCCGUAUUAAGACAAAGACUGGAAAUCACCCUUUGGGUUUGGCAAUUAGCAGGUCAUUGGUGACCUUAGUGGGGCAGCAGGGGUAGGGGUGAGGAUAGGCAGAAGCCAGAUUGAAAGUACUGAAGAUGAAAUUGGAAAUUAAAAUCGGAAGGUAGAAGUCUGACUGUAAAUUAAGAAAGAGAGAGCUAGGGUCAUAGGGAGGUUUACAGGAGAAGCUUGACCUUGGACCAUGAUUAUAGUUAGAGGUAAGGACCUGGGGGCUGAGCAGAUGAGGACACACCAUAGAGGAAUGGGUUGAUAGAGCAGGAAGGGACAUUUGAAAGGAUGUGAGACUGAAGGUGCGGUGUCAAUCAGCUUCUUAGCUAGAGGUAAUUGAGAGUUGAGAGACUUUGUGCCCAGUGGUUUUACUUUUUCUGGGAGGUUGUGGAAAGCCUAUGGGGAGGUCGAGAAGCAGCUUAGGUGACUGAGAAACUACUGAUGCCAGGUGAAAUAAAGGGAUUGUUAGACUCUGUCAGGGACCCAGCUGACGCUGUGAAACAAAAUUUGCAAUGGUACCACUUCUCAUAUGUGGGCACUUUCCUCUAGGGCAUCCAGCAACCCUGCUGUGUUGGGGCCGCACAGCUCAUCCUCCUGUCUCUAGUUUCCUGAGGACUGAAGUUAUGCCUGUCCCUUCCAUUCACGUGGGGAUGUGAGUUAUUUGGGGAGCAGCCACGUUUACACCACCUGACACCACCUUUACUGGCACGGUUGAUUGGCUCUGGGGCAAAAAAAUGGAUCCAGUCUCGGGGGAGUGGGGUGGGGGUCAGGGGGUGGAGGUGUCCAAAUCUCUUUCUCAGGAAUUUAAAACUGAAUCUCCAAACUCCCAUCUCAGUCAGCCUUCUCUCAAAAUGUGGAUUCAGAAGUUAUUGGUGGUAACUUCUUAGCACAAGAACUGGAAAACAGAAAAAGAAAGUGCAGCUAAAGAAAAGAAAAACAGGAGGAAAAAGGGACAAGAAGCUGAUGGUAUAGAGGAUGCCCUUGACUUCCUUAGUUCUCUGCCUCUGCUUCUAGGCAUCCAUGCAGCUUUCUUACAAGAAAGUUCUUCUAAAAUGGUCAUAGGUUAGUUGAAGGUGGUUUAUAUUACUUGCAAGGCAAGAAUUCCUAAUUAAAACAUGGUGAAGUCAGAUUGUCAGGUUGACCCAGAUUUUAGAAAAAUGGCCAUGUGAGGGUGAGAGAGGAAGAAAACAAGAAGAGAGCUAGAGAGAGUGAGAAGUCCCCCAAGGGUCCAGGCUGCUUUUGAGCAUGGUUGUCAACCCUGGCUGUGUGUCAGCAUGAGCAGGGGAGGUUUGAUCCCCACUUUGCCCCCCACUCUCAGAGUUUCCAUGCUUAGCAGUGUGGGGUGAGAGGGGGGAGUCUAAUGUGCAUCUAGGAAAGCCGGGAUUAGGCUAACAGACUUGGAAGGAAGGGGAGCCAAGGAACUGGUAGGCUCUGGAAAGAGAAGGUGUUGAGGGGACAAAGAAAGUGGGGAGCAGGAAGGAGAGCAGGGGCUGGACAGAGCACUGCAGAGUGGAGGCUAGCAUUCCAGAAAGGGGAUCUGUCUCGGGUAGGUUAGAGAUGUGGGUAGAGGACCAAGGCACCAGAGGAGAGGAUUAUGAAGCAAGAGCACCAGAUUGACCCACUGCAUGGACAGAAAGCCCCAGUAGGACGGCAGUUGUAGAGAGGGGAGAGUCUGCAAAUUAGGAGCCCAGGGGGGACUUAACCCUCAGCAGACAGCAGUGAGGAAGCACAAAGUUCGGGCUGGUCCACAGGCAUGCAAUCAGCUCUUCUCCUAACCCACAUUCACACUGGUGAAGCUGUUGUUCUAUGACAUGGCCUUUGGGAUGCACUGGAAUACAGGCUGAGAACAGGCUGCUGUGGAUCUGGAUUUGAAGCCCACCUCCAUCACUCCCCACUGGGAGAUCUUGGGCAAGUUACUGACCUCUCUCAGGCUUAGUUUCUGUUUACAUAAGACCUAAGUGCCUUAUAAUGUAUGAAAAGUGAAUAAGAUAACAUAUUAAAAGAAGUGCUCAAUCUAUGGCAUCUAUUAGUAUUCACUGAAAGGGGUUUCAAAGGGCAGAACAGAAAUAUUUUGGUGGAUGAGUUGGUUGAGGCAGGAGAGCACUAAGGGGGAAUACAUGUUGGGGAAGGGGGGCAUGGUAAGAGUCUUCAUUUUGGAAGUGACCAAGGAGGACAGGGUGAGGGCCACGGAGAGAUUAACUUGUCUGAAGCUUCCCAAUCAUAUUUUGUCUUCUACGGCUGCUCUAGCAAACCACCACACAUUUGAAACAAUACAGAUUUACUAUCUUACAGUUCUCUUGGUCAGAAAUUCAAUACAAGUCUCACUGGGCUAAAUCAAGAUGUCAGCAGGGCUGCAUUCCUUUCUGGAAGUUCAAGAGCAGAAUCUUUUUCCUUCCUUUUUCUGCAUUCUUUGGCUCAUGGCCCCCUUCCUCCACCUCCAAAGCCAGCAGCCUCACAUCUCUCUGG